rnacentral:rRNA from 1 species
ACCGAAUAGAUACCCCGGUAGUCCACGCCCUAAACGAUGUCAACUAGCUGUUGGGGGCUUCGGCCCUCAGUAGCGCAGCUAAACGCGUGAAGUUGACCGCCUGGGGAGUACGGUCGCAAGAUUAAAACUCAAAGGAAUUGACGGGGACCCGCACAAGCGGUGGAUGAUGUGGAUUAAAUUCGAUGCAACGCGAAAAACCUUACCUACCCUUGACAUGUCUGGAAUCCUUUAGAGAUAGAGGAGUGCUCGCAAGAGAACCGGAACACAGGUGCUGCAUGGCUGUCGUCAGCUCGUGUCGUGAGAUGUUGGGUUAAGUCCCGCAACGAGCGCAACCCUUGUCAUUAGUUGCUACGAAAGGGCACUCUAAUGAGACUGCCGGUGACAAACCGGAGGAAGGUGGGGAUGACGUCAAGUCCUCAUGGCCCGUUAUGGGUAGGGCUUCACACGUCAUACAAUGGUCGGGACAGAGGGUUGCCAAGCCGCGAGGUGGAGCCAAUCCCAGAAACCCGAUCGUAGUCCGGAUCGCAGUCUGCAACUC